rnacentral:rRNA from 1 species
GUGCCAGCAGCCGCGGUAAUACGUAGGGGGCAAGCGUUGUCCGGAUUUAUUGGGCGUAAAGAGCUCGUAGGCGGCUGGUCACGUCGGAUGUGAAAGCUCAAAGCUCAACUUUGAGAGGCCAUUCGAUACGGAUCAGCUAGAGGUAGGUAGGGGAAAGUGGAAUUCCUGGUGUAGCGGUGAAAUGCGCAGAUAUCAGGAGGAACACCGGUGGCGAAGGCGGCUUUCUGGGCCUUACCUGACGCUGAGGAGCGAAAGCUGGGGGAGCGAACAGGAUUAGAUACCCUGGUAGUCC